rnacentral:rRNA from 1 species
CGGGGUGAGUAACGCGUAGGUAUCUAUCCUGUGGUGGGGGAUAACGGCUGGAAACGGCUGCUAAUACCGCAUGACGACUGAGGUCCAAAGGCAGCAAUGUCGCCUUGGGAGGAGCCUGCGUUCGAUUAGCUUGUUGGUGGGGUAACGGCCUACCAAGGCGACGAUCGAUAGCUGGUCUGAGAGGAUGAUCAGCCACACUGGGACUGAGACACGGCCCAG